rnacentral:rRNA from 1 species
UCAGCUUGUGUGUUAGUGGAACGGUCUGGAAAGUCCGACGGUACAGGGUGAUAGUCCCGUACACCAAAAUGCACAGGCUGUGAACUCGAAGAGUAGGGCGGGACACGUGGUAUCCUGUCUGAAUAUGGGGGGACCAUCCUCCAAGGCUAAAUACUCCUGACUGACCGAUAGUGAACCAGUACCGUGAGGGAAAGGCGAAAAGAACCCCGGCGAGGGGAGUGAAAAAGAACCUGAAACCGUGUACGUACAAGCAGUGGGAGCACCUUCGGGUGUGACUGCGUACCUUUUGUAUAAUGGGUCAGCGACUUAUAUUCUGUAGCAAGGUUAACCGUAUAGGGGAGCCGCAGGGAAACCGAGUCUUAACUGGGCGUUAAGUUGCAGGGUAUAGACCCGAAACCCGGUGAUCUAGCCAUGGGCAGGUUGAAGGUUGGGUAACACUAACUGGAGGACCGAACCGACUAAUGUUGAAAAAUUAGCGGAUGACUUGUGGCUGGGGGUGAAAGGCCAAUCAAACCGGGAGAUAGCUGGUUCUCCCCGAAAGCUAUUUAGGUAGCGCCUCGUGAACUCAUCUUCGGGGGUAGAGCACUGUUUCGGCUAGGGGGUCAUCCCGACUUACCAACCCGAUGCAAACUACGAAUACCGAAGAAUGUUAUCACGGGAGACACACGGCGGGUGCUAACGUCCGUCGUGAAGAGGGAAACAACCCAGACCGCCAGCUAAGGUCCCAAAGUCAUGGUUAAGUGGGAAACGAUGUGGGAAGGCACAGACAGCCAGGAUGUUGGCUUAGAAGCAGCCAUCAUUUAAAGAAAGCGUAAUAGCUCACUGGUCGAGUCGGCCUGCGCGGAAGAUGUAACGGGGCUAAACCAUGCACCGAAGCUGCGGCAGCGACACUAUGUGUUGUUGGGUAGGGGAGCGUUCUGUAAGCCUGCGAAGGUGACCUGUGAGGGUUGCUGGAGGUAUCAGAAGUGCGAAUGCUGACAUAAGUAACGAUAAAGCGGGUGAAAAGCCCGCUCGCCGGAAGACCAAGGGUUCCUGUCCAACGUUAAUCGGGGCAGGGUGAGUCGACCCCUAAGGCGAGGCCGAAAGGCGUAGUCGAUGGGAAACAGGUUAAUAUUCCUGUACUUGGUGUUACUGCGAAGGGGGGACGGAGAAGGCUAUGUUAGCCGGGCGACGGUUGUC